rnacentral:lncRNA from 1 species
AAUAAUACCCAAAAAUUAAAAAAAUAUCAAAAUAGUAUUAUUUUUUUAUUUACAAAAAUGAUAUAAAAAAACAUAACAGUUAAAAAAAAUAAAUAGGUGAGGUGACAGGACCUUGGUGGAGGGCCUGCCACAGGCGGCAUCAGUGGUGCCAGUGGCAAAGGCAGCACCAAAGGUGCCACUGCCACAGGCGGCACCAGCCCUUAUAAUAGUCUCCCCCCCCCCCCAUUUGGCAGAAGGAGAAGGAAAAAAGAGAACAAAGAAAAACGAAAGAAAAGGAAAGAAGAAGAAGAAGAAGAAGAAGAAGGAAGGAGGCGCAGGAAAAAGAGAAAGAGAAGGAGAAGAAGAAGAGGGAGGGAAGGAAAAAGAAAGAAAAAAAAAGGAAGGUAAUUUUUUUUGGUAUUAUUUUAAUUUUUUUAUAUAAUUUGUGUAAAAAACUCAUGUUAUGUAUAUUAUAUGUUUUAUUAUUUUAUUUAGUAUAAAAUUUUUAUGAAAUUUAUUUAGCAUGUAAAAAACUAAUGUUAUGUACAUUCUAUGUUGAUUAGAUAUAUUUUUUAUGAAUUUAU